GGUUAAGUUAUUAAGGGCGCACGGCGAAUGCCUUGGCACUAGGAGCCGAAGAAGGACGGCACUAACACCGAUAUGCUUCGGGGAGCUGUAAGUGAGCUUUGAUCCGGAGAUUUCCGAAUGGGGGAACCCACUACGUUUAAUCGCGUAGUAUCUUGACGUGAAUACAUAGCGUCUUGAAGGCAGACCCAGGGAACUGAAACAUCUAAGUACCUGGAGGAAGAGAAAGAAAAAUCGAUUCCCUGAGUAGCGGCGAGCGAAACGGGAAGAGCCCAAACCAAGAGGCUUGCCUCUUGGGGUUGUAGGACACUCUAUACGGAGUUACAAAAGAGCGAGUUAGAUGAAGCGACUUGGAAAGGUCCGCCAGAGCAGGUAAAAGCCCUGUAGUCGAAAGUUCGUUCUCUCCUGAGUGGAUCCUGAGUACGGCGGAACACGUGAAAUUCCGUCGGAAUCCGGGAGGACCAUCUCCCAAGGCUAAAUACUACCUAGUGACCGAUAGUGAACCAGUACCGUGAGGGAAAGGUGAAAAGCACCCCGGAAGGGGAGUGAAAGAGAUCCUGAAACCGUGUGCCUACAAGUAGUUAGAGCCCGUUAAUGGGUGAUAGCGUGCCUUUUGUAGAAUGAACCGGCGAGUUACGAUUACGUGC
rnacentral:rRNA from 1 species